AAAUGAAAUGAAAAGACUACUUGCCAUGUCCCAGUGAAGAGAGGUGUGGCAGAACGGAAUGCCUGUGGCCUGGAAGAGGUGAAGGGUGGAAAGACGAAGAGUCCAACACCUCACAGUAGAGAGAAUCUGCAAUGGGCAGUUUGGUUAGCCACUCCAAGACACAGAUGUCUAAAAUUUCCCAUGAAAAAUACCUGCUGGGGCUGCAACUUUAUCCCUACAGCUGUUUGUGGAGGAGGAGACCUGUAUUAACUUUGGAUAGUUUUUCUUUAGGGUGGACAGCUGGGCAGCAGGCCUGAGACAGGCACACCCAAGUUCAUCCUGUUCUUCCACACAUCAGGGCGCCUUGUUGCCCUGGCACGAGGCUGGUUUGCCUUUGUGGAUGACGACUCUUCUUGCAAAGCAAAGCUUGGGCUUGGUUUCAUGCAUAGGUGCGAAACAAUGAGCCUGGAUUCUGUAAUGAGAACAUUAGUUAACUUGGCCUAGCCAGCGCACCCCUCCCCAACACCUCUUGUUCAUUCCCCACCCCCCCCCACUCCCACCCCCACCAUGUACUAAUGCACUUUACUGCUAAGAGAGGUCAAAGAUUUAAAACAUUUAGGGGCUGGGGAGAUAGCAAGCAUGGGGUCCUGAGUUCACCGCCCAGCUGUGAGUGAUAGCACAUGCUAUAAUCCCAUUGUUGGCUGUAUGGAGAAUGGCGGACCCAUGGGGCUAACUGGCUAGUCAGUCUAAGUUAAUCAGGGAACCCCAGGUUCCAGGGAACACUGUCUCAUAACAUAAUGUGGACAGCUCCUAAGGACACUUGAAUGUGACCUCUAGCUUCCACAGCACCCUGCCAAUUACAUGUGUACCUGCACACGCAUGAGCAAGCAUAUUCACUUACAUACAUACACACAAAUGAUUUAAACCAUUUAAGUAAACUUAAGUUGCUAUGACCCACUUGACCCAGCUUUGACAGCUCAGGAUCCAGGAGGCAGAGAAAAUUGCUU
rnacentral:lncRNA from 1 species